GACGAACGCUGGCGGCGUGCUUAUCACAUGCAAGUCGAACGGAAAGGCCCUGCUUUUGUGGGGUGCUCUAGUGGCGAACGGGUGAGUAACACGUGAGUAACCUGCCCUUGACUUUGGGAUAACUUCAGGAAACUGGGGCUAAUACCGGAUAGGAGCUCCUGCUGCAUGGUGGGGGUUGGAAAGUUUCGGCGGUUGGGGAUGGACUCGCGGCUUAUCAGCUUGUUGGUGGGGUAGUGGCUUACCAAGGCUUUGACGGGUAGCCGGCCUGAGAGGGUGACCGGCCACAUUGGGACUGAGAUACGGCCCAGACUCCUACGGGAGGCAGCAGUGGGGAAUAUUGCACAAUGGGCGGAAGCCUGAUGCAGCAACGCCGCGUGCGGGAUGACGGCCUUCGGGUUGUAAACCGCUUUCGCCUGUGACGAAGCGUGAGUGACGGUAAUGGGUAAAGAAGCACCGGCUAACUACGUG
rnacentral:rRNA from 1 species